CCACAGACCUUUUGACCUGAGUUUGACCUCAGAUACGUGAACUCUGUCCAAGAAAUUUAUGUAUGAUACUUCUGAUAGGAAAAGCGUUGAGGGGAUAUAAUUCAAAGGAGAUAAUAGCCUCUCAACCUCCUGAAAUGUUGAAGUACUUGGCCACCUCAAGGCAGAAGAGAGUUCGUCCAUCAGAUUCAAACUGGCUUGCUUGAAGUGGGUCUUGUGGACUAAAGGAUGACCUCCAGUUAUUUAGAAGGCCAGUUCUGUUAAUUAUCACAAAUCCUUCAAUGUAGUCAAAUGUAUUCUCUGAAGAUAUCAAAUGCUCUUGAUCUCUGGUAAAUGUGUUGAAAUCUGAGUAGAGCAUCCGAAUCCAUUUCACCUGUUCAAAUUGGUGACCACAUUAGAAUACUUUGUAACUCCACUGCAUUAGAUCUUGCAAUUAUAUGUCUGAAGUAUGAGUAUGUCUGGAUUUAUCUGCG